CGUAAGAGAGAAGACAGAUACUUUAUAGGGAGUGAGUGAACUUGUGAACCUUUCAAGGCCAAAAAUCAGUAGCAUCAGGCCGUUGCAUUCAUUUUGUGGACGAGAGAAAACAACGCUCAUUGCACGUGCACCCUAUAUUGAGGAGAGACAAGUAAAGCUGAGCAGGGGUGUGGCAGACAAGGAGGACGACACCAGCACACAGACACAGGAGAAAGAGAGAGGGGAGGGGCCACAAGAAGCAGAUUGAGGGAAGUGCCUUCGCCCGCUCACACACACACACAGGCUACACUGAUCAUAGAGACCAUUCACACCCAUAGAGCAGUCAUAGUGCAGCCAAGUCAUACAUUAAAAUAGUGAAAGAAAUAAAACAAAUUUUGUCAUGGGGAAUAAAUUAGCGAAAUUGGAAAAGACAGAAAUCACACCUUUUAGUUUAAUGCUGUCAGAAGGGGUUGGGACCAGAGCAGAAUUGAAUUAAUGCAUGAAGCGUUGGAACAAACAAACAGCAAAAACUGAGAAGCAGUGGCCCCUUAGGGGUACAUUUGAUGAGGAAUUAUGUCAAAUAAUACGGGAGAUAGAGGAAAAGAAAUUGACUCAAACAUCAGCACAACAAGAAAAGAAAUUACGCAGUUUGGCUAUACUACAGGCCUUUGAAAACCAUGUAGUGAUACUUAAAGAGAAAGAAAAGGGAUACCAACAGGAAUCAAUGCAAAAUAAGACUGGAGAAAUAAAAGAGAGUAGUGAUGAGAAGGCUAAAGAAAAACUCACAGAGAAUAGCCAAACAGACAGUGACAGACCCCCAGCGUAUGCCCCUGAGGUAAUAAACACUGGUAUGUAUCUUAUCAAAAUCGGGAUGGCAUAGUGCUGAAAUACAAAUGACUGGAGGACUAUAUGAUGGACUAUAUGGAAAUGGGGAAGCCGGUAGGCAAGUAUAGAUACAUCUUAGUGGUGGUAGAUGUUUUCAGUUGUUGGAUUGAGGCCCAAGCAACAACUAGGGAAACUGCUGAUGCAGCAGCCAGAUUUCUGUUGAGGGAGGUCAUACCAAGAUUUGGCAUACCCGAUAAAAUAAGCUCAGACAAUGGUCAACACUUUGUGAAACAGAAAAUGCACAAGCAUUGAGAAUCAAACGACGAUUAGGAUGUGUUUAUCAUCCUCAAUCGCAGGGCAAGGUAGAGAGGCAGAAUGGGAUCAUACAUGCAAAAAUUGCACAAAUCAUGGCUGACAGCGGCCAAAAAAUCAAUUGGCUAGAUGCACUACAAUUAGCCCUAAUGAGCAUGAGAAUGUCAACCAACAGGACCCCUCACCUGACUCCUCACGAAAUGUUAACGGGUCGUCCCAUGCCAGUAACUUACUUGCGUGGACCUACCCAUGGUCCAAACCUUGAACAAUUGCAAAGUGAACUGCAAGAGUAUGUCAAAUGUCUGACAAAAAUCCACAAAGAAAUCUUCACCCAGGUGAAAGGUGCCACCGAGGGGAGAACCUCCACCAUCGACGACGAACGUCUGAAGGAAGUGCUUCCUGGCGACUACGUGUACGUCAAGACCUUUAAGAGAGGCUGGAGUGAACCAAGACAUGAAGGACUGUUUGAGGUGAUCCUAGCUACGCCCACAGCUGUCAAGGUAAAAGGUCAUAAGGUUUGGAUACAUCUUAACCACUGUUCCAGAGCUCCAGAUCUGCUGAGACCUGUGACAUCAGCGGGACCAGAUCAGCAGCAGCCACACAUUGCUGAAGACUCAGGAGCAGGGGACCAGGCAGUAGCAGGACCGAGUGGUGUUUCACGGCCAAUCACAUGUAGCAUCACCAGAGCAACACCACCAGACGAUGAUGACUCUGAGUAACGUAAGUUAAGAGUCUGGCCUACAGUUGAUAAACAGCCCUCCAGACCGACUAUUUUCCUGUCUCACAAUUGAGGUGUGAGCCUAGCACCGCCUCUACAGAGCAGGUAUUGACAGUAUUGAAUACAAUCACAGAUUGAACAAGUGAUUUUGACCUAACACUGAACAAACUAACAAAAUGUUGGCUUGGCACCCAUUCCGACAUCCAGGACUCUGUGGACUGAGAGGUACCAUAUGUGUGUUAAUGUUAUUGUCUGUCAUCAUUGUGACAAUAAUUUUGUCUGCAACCGUUUCACACACUGACAAUCCAAAUGAGAUAAUAAACUGCACCGACACGCCCAUGACACAGGACACAUCCGAAUGCAACACAGACCUAGUCUCCAACCCAAAACUCUUAGCGAACAAAAGACAGAAACAAGCGAUCACGACUUUAGAUUAUUCCUUACUUCGUCAAACUUGGAAUCUGACUGAUUACAUAGUGUGAGCGAUACUGCCCAAUAAAUAGCCAACGUUGGGGUGAGUCAAUACGCUUACCACUUACAGAGGGUCAGUAUAUGGUGCAUCACGAGUGGACAUUGACCAGGAAUGACACUAAAAGCUUUCAUCGUUCUAAAAUUUCUGUGGCCUAUCCAGGAUUUUCCAAUUGCACACAAGAACCAAAUUGUAUCAAUCCCGCCUUAGUAGCACCUGCAGGACAGACUCAUAUGAUAAAAUGUGCCAUGGCUCUAGUACUCAUACAUCACAUACAUCAUUUUGGAAGCUCUGAAACUACACAAGACUAUCAUGUCAAAUUCAGAAAUGUGGGAGACAAUGUUUCCAUCACAGACACAAGAGGGAAGUUCCACUCCACUGGACUUCCUAAAAACUCACAGUGCAAUGGCCCAAUGAUACUUACAGUUAGAACAUACUGUAACUCACUCAUGUGUUAUGAGAAAAUUCACCUUAAUCAUUCACGUAGGGCUGUCAUUCACAAAUGGCAAGCUCGAGAACUCUAUGACUUAGAGUUCUAACACGUCGACACCCAAUAUUGAUCAUGAGGCCAAAAGCGAGGUAGUUACUGUGUAUGCUACUCAAAACAUGUUAUAUCAAUACUUACAAUUCACUGCUCAAACAAGCAUUGCCACAGAUUGCAUAGCAUGUUAUGCAAAGAAAGGAGUUCCAUCUGUCAUUCCAUUGGGAGGACUAACUGAUUGCGUUAACACAACUGUUUCAUGUCCAUUGCAUUGUCUACUGUGGAGCAUGGAGGUUCAUUUUAAUUCCAAGCGCUCCCAUAAUUACUCCAUGUUAUACAAGCCCAUUACUUCUCCUCCCCCAAUGGUUCAAGAUGAUGGUUUGCAUUAUCCAUAUUGUUUCUGUCACCAUUAUGAUUACACACAUGUAGGGAUUGCCAAUAGAUGUACAUGUCAGAUAAAUGCCACAGGGUGGGAAUUAAAUAAUGACAAACAAAUGUUAGACAUAGAUCUCACUGCAGGAACAGUUCCAAUAGCUGACAUGUUUUGGGUUUGUGCAGAUGGUAAACAACUGUCACAAUUUCUAGCUCCCACAUGGAAGGGAUGUUGUGCUCCAAUCACACUUUCUGGCAAAGUUGUGCUUCUGCCCAUGGACAUUCCUUUAGCUCGAGGUAAAAGGGAUGUAUCCUCAAAUUGGCUCAAGGACAAGCACACAGUUUUGGAAAAACCUACUCUUACAUACUCCAGUGUUCCAACUGAUAUUCCACUUGAACAUUUGGCAAUGUCUCAUAGCAGUAUUGAAAAUCGGGUUGCAUUCCUUCCAUGGUUUCAAAAUUAUAAGAAUGCUCAGUGGAUCAACUACAUUUGGUACAACCAACAAAGAUUUAUGAAUUACACAAUUGCUACCUUGGAAGUAUUGGGACAACAACUAGAUGCUAUGUCCAGAAUGGCAAUGCAAAACAGGUUUGCUAUUGAUUUCAUGUGAGCCCCAGAUGAUGGUGUGUGUGUUUUGUUUGGUGAUGAGUGUUGUACAUACAUUCCAAUGCAUACUGCAGAAGAGGGUAAUUUCACAAAAAUUAUGAGACAACUAAAAGAUUUAAGAGAUGAGCAUAUAUCCAACACAAAAGGACAGGCCCCUGGGGAGGGAUGGUUUAAUUGGAUAUUUUCAGGUCAAUUGAAAGCUAUUUUAAUUAGGCUAGGAUUGGUAUUGUUGAUUUUCCUUGUGAUUUUGUGUGUGUUGGGUUGUUGUGUGGUACCAUUCGUUUGCAGCAUGGUGGAAAAAAUCUUUUCCAACCUUACUGGACAGUACACUAUGAUCCGUGCCGAAGUGCCUCUUGAACGACCUGAGACUGUUCGUUUGACCUGUCGCGUUCGACCUGUCAUCCAUAGCAACCCAUCUUAACUGACCAAGGUGAUGUGCUGGUAACCUCUCCCUUGUGCCAGCAACGUGCCCAUCUACGUGGUGUAAUAUCACAAUGGGCAGAAGAGGACAAUGCCUGGAUAAUCAUUUAUGGACAAUCAUUUAAUCAUGACCUUAUUUUACUCUCAUGUUAUUCAAUAUGUUAUCCAUAUGUACUUAUUUUCAUCCAUGCAUGUAAUGCCAUUGCAAGUACCAUUUUUGUUUUUUAGAAACAAGGGUUGUUAAGCUUUGCUGCAAUAUUUACACCAUAUACAUAUGUACUCAUAGAGAUCUGUGUUGUAUGAUAGAUGAUAGGAAGCUGUAUUUGGUUUAAUUGGCAUAUUGUUGUUUAACACUAAAAGACUGGUUUCGGGUAUGAAGAAAAGGCUAUAGGCCUGAGCAGUUUGACAUGAGCGUGUGGGCUCGGGUGACUGACAAUUCGGCUGAAGCAUGCCAUCUGCCCCUGAGAAUGGGGAUUGAGUUCUGUGUACGCUAUCCUUGUGAGGACUAGCGUGGGACGAGAAUUUGGCUAAAGCACAUGCUGUGCCGGCCACUCUCCUGACUGACUCUUUAAGUCUCCCAGGACAGGAUGUCCAUUACCAGCUAAUCCAAAUUUGUUAUUUCCAUCCGAUUUGGAUUGUGUACUGACAUAUUACUAGCUUCCUGUAAUAUCAUACAAUAUACUGAUUUUCUUUCCUUUUUAGCAGACUUGGGAAGGUAGAUGUAUUUGGGAGGAAUGAUGUAAGAUGUAGUAAACAGUAUUCAGAUCAGUAGUAAACAGUAUUCAGAUCAGUAGUAAACAGUAUUUAGAAACAGACACAUGUAUCAACAGAAACAUUUAUACAAGAAUCACAAACAGAAACAUUUUAUCACUUGAUAGCUAUUAUAAGCAUAUAGAAACACAGAAGAUGUAUGGUUCGCGACUAUUUGUCGCGAAAGGGGGGAAUGAUGUAAAUGAAAGAUUCUCAAAAUUAAAAUGCCAUGUAUUAUGCAGGAUAAACCAUAAAUAAAGGCCUAGCACAUUGGAAUAA